rnacentral:rRNA from 1 species
UACGAAGGGGGCUAGCGUUGCUCGGAAUCACUGGGCGUAAAGGGCGCGUAGGCGGCGUUUUAAGUCGGGGGGUGAAAGCCUGUGGCUCAACCACAGAAUGGCCUCGAUACUGGGACGCUUGGAGUAUGGUAGAGGUUGGUGGAACUGCGAGUGUAGAGGUGAAAUUCGUAGAUAUUCGCAAGAACACCGGUGGCGAAGGCGGCCAACUGGACCAUACUGACGCUGAGGCGCGAAAGCGUGGGAGCAACAGGAUGAGAUACCGGGACGUAAGUCCAGACCAAGUCCUAGU